rnacentral:ncRNA from 1 species
GGCCCCGACGUAUAAGGCUUUUAAGACUUGGAGAGAAGAAACUUCCCAACCCAACCCCAACCCCUGCCCCGGCCUCACACAGGGCCCCGUCACCCACACGGGUGAGAUCACCAACUCGACUGGAUUUUCGCCUGGUUGGCAGGCAUAUGCUCGCCCCCACAACCCCAGACAUGCGUCGGCCCCCGGCCGGGACUCGCAAUCCCGAUCGAGGGCCUGACCACCGAGGAAGAAAGCCCCUUCCCG